ACUGGCGGCGUGCCUAAACAUGCAGUCGAACGAGUUCUGAUUAUUGAAAGGUGCUUGCAUCUUGAUUUAAUUUUGAACGAGUGGCGGACGGGUGAGUAACACGUGGGUAACCUGCCCUUAAGUGGGGGAUAACAUUUGGAAACAGAUGCUAAUACCGCAUAAAUCCAAGAACCGCAUGGUUCUUGGCUGAAAGAUGGCGUAAGCUAUCGCUUUUGGAUGGACCCGCGGCGUAUUAGCUAGUUGGUGAGGUAACGGCUCACCAAGGCAAUGAUACGUAGCCGAACUGAGAGGUUGAUCGGCCACAUUGGGACUGAGACACGGCCCAAACUCCUACGGGAGGCAGCAGUAGGGAAUCUUCCACAAUGGACGCAAGUCUGAUGGAGCAACGCCGCGUGAGUGAAGAAGGCUUUCGGGUCGUAAAACUCUGUUGUUGGAGAAGAAUGGUCGGCAGAGUAACUGUUGUCGGCGUGACGGUAUCCAACCAGAAAGCCACGG
rnacentral:rRNA from 2 species